rnacentral:rRNA from 1 species
CCAGACUCCUACGGGAGGCAGCAGUGGGGAAUAUUGCACAAUGGGGGAAACCCUGAUGCAGCGACGCCGCGUGAGCGAAGAAGUAUUUCGGUAUGUAAAGCUCUAUCAGCAGGGAAGAAAAAAAUGACGGUACCUGAGUAAGAAGCACCGGCUAAAUACGUGCCAGCAGCCGCGGUAAUACGUAUGGUGCAAGCGUUAUCCGGAUUUACUGGGUGUAAAGGGAGCGUAGGCGGCGCGUUAAGCCUGAUGUGAAAACCCGGGGCUCAACCCCGGGACUGCAUUGGAAACUGUCAGGCUAGAGUGUCGGAGAGGCAAGUGGAAUUCCUAGUGUAGCGGUGAAAUGCGUAGAUAUUAGGAGGAACACCAGUGGCGAAGGCGGCUUGCUGGACGAUGACUGACGUUGAGGCUCGAAAGCGUGGAGAGCAAGCAGGAUUAGAUACCCGCGUAUCC